rnacentral:tRNA from 1 species
GGGGUAGUAGUUAAUAAUAACAUUUAAUUUGCAAUUAAAAAGAGUCUAAUAAGACCUUCCUCA